UACGGGGGGGGCAAGCGUUGUUCGGAAUUACUGGGCGUAAAGGGCUCGUAGGUGGCCAACUAAGUCAGACGUGAAAUCCCCAGGCUCAACUUGGGAACUGCGUCUGAUACUGGAUGGCUUGAAUUCGGGAGAGGGAUGCAGAAUUCCAGGUGUAGCGGUGAAAUGCGUAGAUAUCUGGAGGAAUACCGGUGGCGAAGGCGGCAUCCUGGACCGAGAUUGACACUGAGGCGCGAAAGCUAGGGGAGCAAACGGG
rnacentral:rRNA from 1 species